GAUGAACGCUGGCGGCGUGCCUAAUACAUGCAAGUCGAGCGAACAGACGAGGAGCUUGCUCCUUUGACGUUAUCGGCGGACGGGUGAGUAACACGUGGGUAACCUACCUAUAAGACUGGGAUAACUUCGGGAAACCGGAGCUAAGACCGGAUAAUAUUUCGAACCGCAUGGUUCGAUAGUGAAAUAUGGCUUUUCUAUCACUUAUAGAUGGACCUGCGCCGUAUUAGCUAGUUGGUAAGGUAACGGCUUACCAAGGCAACGAUACGUAGCUGACCUGAGAGGGUGAUUGGCCACACUGGAACUGAGACACGGUCCAGACUCCUACGGGAGGCAGCAGUAGGGAAUCUUACGCAAUGGGCGAAAGCCUGACGGAGCAACGCGGCGUGAGUGAUGAAGGUCUUCGGAUCGUAAAACUAUGUUAUUAGGGAAGAACAAAAGUGUAAGUAACUGUGCACGUCUUGACGGUACCUAAUCAGAAAGCCACGGCUAACUACGUG
rnacentral:rRNA from 1 species